rnacentral:rRNA from 1 species
CCAGACUCCUACGGGAGGCAGCAGUGGGGAAUAUUGCACAAUGGGGGAAACCCUGAUGCAGCGACGCCGCGUGAAGGACGAAGUAUUUCGGUACGUAAACUUCUAUCAGCAGGGAAGAAAAUGACGGUACCUGACCAAGAAGCCCCGGCUAACUACGUGCCAGCAGCCGCGGUAAUACGUAGGGGGCAAGCGUUAUCCGGAUUUACUGGGUGUAAAGGGAGCGUAGACGGCCGUGCAAGUCUGAUGUGAAAACCCGGGGCUCAACCCCGGGACUGCAUUGGAAACUGCAUGGCUGGAGUGUCGGAGAGGCAAGUGGAAUUCCUAGUGUAGCGGUGAAAUGCGUAGAUAUUAGGAGGAACACCAGUGGCGAAGGCGGCUUGCUGGACGACGACUGACGUUGAGGCUCGAAAGCGUGGGGAGCACACAGGAUUAGAUACCCCCGUA